AAAAGAUAGGCCAAAGUUAUGGUCCUGUUUACCUGAGGUGCUCACUGAGUUACCCGUAUUAAAAGCUCGUUAUCCUCACUUGAUUAAUAAUAGCUUCCAGGAACUGUCUUAGGAGAAAUUCAGAAUCUGAUUGUUAGUUCACUGGGAAAAAGUGCCACAGUCAAUUAAUAAUGUCUGCCUUGAGCAUGGGAAAAAAGUGGAAGUAACUUAUGUGCCAUAUAUUUGUAUGGAUUAUUUUUAUUGAUACUUAAAGGGGUUCUUUUACUUGAAAUUUUAUGAAGAGUACAAGGAUCACCUGGGAAUGUCUGAACCCCCUCUAUUGAAAGCGCACUAAUAUAUAACUAAUCAGACAAGAGACAAUAAAAAUAUACGCAGACCACGUGGAAAAUAAAAACCAAUUCUAGACAUUGGCAGUGGAUAAAUCUCAGACCUUGGCAGAUCCUAUGUGAAAAUCCCACAAUGGCAGUUCAUGGAACAGUAAGACCAUACUGGACGCUUGAGCGCAUGGUUGGCUAGGACCAUCCACCUACCAACUGACUUCUCUUGCACGUCAGUGAUCAUGACGUAAAUCUGGGCUUCUGAAAACUCAAAAUCUGCCUCAGGUUAUGAAACUUCAAGGUCACUCUCUGUGGUGGGAGUUUAUCUGGAUCAUCCAGGUAGGCGCAGUCUAACAUGGAGAAGCAAAAGAUCCAGUAUAUUCAACACAAUAUAGAAGAAGAAAAAAUUUGGAGGACUGGAAUAACCUGACUUCUACACUAUAAAGAUAUAAUAAUCAAGACAGUGUGGUAUUGGUGAAAGAACAGACAGAUAGACCAGUAGAACAUAAAUAGACUCACGUAAACGUAUUCAACUGAUCUUUGCCAAAGGAGCAAAGGCAAUACAAUGGAGCAGAGAGAGGUUUUCAAUCAGUGAUGCUGGGACAACUAAACAUCCACUUGCAAAAAAAAAAAAAAAAAGAUCCAACAAACAAAGCAAACAGCAACAACAAAAAUCUAGAUGCAUAUGAUGAUCAUUAUACCACUACAGAUGUGAUAAAUUCAUUGAAUUAAAAAAAUCUAGAUAUAAACCGAUAUGCCCUUUACAAAAAUUAACUCAAGAUGGAUGGUGGACCUAAAUGUCAAAGGCAAAACUGUAAAACCCCGGAGGGUAACAUGGGAGAAAAUCUAGAUGACCCUCAAUAUGCUGAUACCUUUUUGGAUCUAACACCAAAAGCAAGAUUCAUGAAAGAAAUACUUGAUAAACUGAGCUUAAUUGAAAUUAAAACCGUUUCUGUGAAAGAUAAUGUCAAGAGAAGGCGAAGACAAGCCACAGCUGGGAGAAAAACAUUUGCAAAACACACAUCUGAUGAAGGACUGUUAUCCCAGAAUGUACAAAGAACGGUUAAAACUUAGGAAGAAAACAACCUGAUCAAAAGAUAGACUGAAGAUCUCGACACCUCAUCAAAGAUAUACAGACGGCAAAAAGAAUAUGAAG
rnacentral:lncRNA from 1 species